UGGGGAAUUGUUCACAAUGGGCGCAAGCCUGAUGACGCAACGCCGCGUGGGGGAUGAAGGUCUUCGGAUUGUAAACCCCUGUCGAAUGGGACGAAAGACUCGCGAGUUAAUACUUCGCGGGAGUGACGGUACCGUUAAAGGAAGCCACGGCUAACUCUGUGCCAGCAGCCGCGGUAAUACAGAGGUGGCAAGCGUUGUUCGGAAUUACUGGGCGUAAAGGGCGCGUAGGCGGCCUACUAAGUCAGACGUGAAAUCCCCCGGCUUAACCUGGGAACUGCGUCUGAUACUGGAAGGCUUGAGUAUGGGAGAGGGAUGUAGAAUUCCAGGUGUAGCGGUGAAAUGCGUAGAUAUCUGGAGGAAUACCGGUGGCGAAGGCGGCAUCCUGGACCAUUACUGACGCUGAGGCGCGAAAGCUAGGGGAGCAAACGGGAUUAGAUACCCGAGUAGUCCCUGAGCGGGCUGGCAAGGCGCAU
rnacentral:rRNA from 1 species